UUAUUCAGAUAGAUUUGAAAUUUGUUUUUAUUUUUUGAUUAAUUUAGAUAGUUUAUUCAUUAAGGGUAUAAACGAUAUUAACCACUCUAACUUUUAACAUGAGAACUCCGUUGCAAAAAUUUACUUCUCAAAUAAUAGUAUAGAUAUCUAUAUAAAUUAAUAAAAACUUAUAGUGUCAAAAUUAUUAAUUUAUAGAGUUUUUACUAUAUCGAAUAAACUAGAGCUAAUUAGCAAAAAAAAAAGAAUUAUAAUAUUAACAUAUAUUGUGAUCAUCUAAUUUACAGUAUUUUAUCAUACCACAUUACAUUAAAUCUGAUUACUGACCAAAAACAUUGAGAAAUACAUAUGGAAUUCUGAAAUACUACCGACCCUUGUAUAUAGAAGUUUCCCAGUAUAUUCUACUAUCAGAGUUUAAAACCAAGCUCUGUAACUAUUAUCGUUGCAACUUGCAAGUUGUUAAUUACUGUUGGCUGUUGCAUACUGAAAGCUAAAGAGAGAGGCUAGUUAAUUAUGUUGUACACUGAGUGUGUAUUAGUUUAUAUAGUGUACUAGUUUAUAUAGUACGUAUCAAUAGUAGCACAACUGUCCAUGCAUGCAGAAUCACAUCACAUGCAGAACGUUGUCACUAUAUUUUUAAAAUUUCAUGAGGACCACACAUUACAAAUUAUUACAUAUGGUCCUCCGCACGAGUCAUAAAUGAUGUUGCACCGUUAUUUAUGGUAACAUAUGUUGACUCUUACAGUCUUACCUGUCUCAUUCAAUGCGAAUUAUAUAUGGUCUUAUUCGAUACUUCUAGAACGAUAAAUGAUGAUGUUGAUAGACUGAUAAUGGGUGACAAAGAAACUGAUAUAAUGAUAGUCGGAAAAUGAGCAUAUGAUCUCUCUUUUUUUGCUCACCAGAGUUUAGCUACUAGUCUACUAGCUAAUAGUUGUUAUAAGGUGCUGUAAAUGAUGAUGAGUCGGAGUCUUGGUCAUGUUGUUAAAUUUUUAUUCGAUGAUAACGAUUAAAAAAUGAUGAUCAGUCUUCGUCAUGUUGUUGUUCGUGACGACAACGAUAUUUGGUUGUUAUUACCGAAUCAACUACUACGG